rnacentral:rRNA from 1 species
AUUGAACGCUGGCGGCAGGCCUAACACAUGCAAGUCGAACGAGUGGCGGACGGGUGAGUAAUGUCUGGGAAACUGCCUGAUGGAGGGGGAUAACUACUGGAAACGGUAGCUAAUACCGCAUACCAUCAGAUGUGCCCAGAUGGGAUGGGCUAUUAGGUGGGGUAACGGCUCACCUAGGCGACGCGCCCUAGCUGGUCUGAGAGGAUGACCAGCCACACUGGAACUGAGACCCGGUCCAGACUCCUACGGGAGGCAGCAGUGGGGAAUCUUGCACAAUGGGCGCAAGCCUGAUGCAGCCAGGCCGCGUGUAUGAAGAAGGCCUUCGGGUUGUAAAGUACUUUCAGCGGGGAGGCGUUACCCGCAGAAGAAGCACCGGCUAACUCCGUGCCAGCAGCCGCGGUAAUUC